GAUGAAAGAACGUAGUGAAAUGCGAUAAUUAAUGUGAAUUGCAGAAUUCAGUGAAUCAUCGAGUCUUUGAACGCACAUUGCGCCCCCUGGUAUUCCGGGGGGCAUGCCUGUCCGAGCGUCAUUGCUGCCCUCAAGCACGGCUUGUGUGUUGGGCUUCCGUCCCUGGCAACGGGGACGGGCCCAAAAGGCAGUGGCGGCACCAUGUCUGGUCCUCGAGCGUAUGGGGCUUUGUCACCCGCUCCCGUAGGUCCAGCUGGCAGCUAGCCUCGCAACCAAUCUUUUUAACCAGGUUGACCUCGGAUCAGGUAGGGAUACCCGCUGAACUUAAGCAUAUCAAUAAGCGGAGGA
rnacentral:misc_RNA from 1 species